CCUACGGGGGGCAGCAGUGGGGAAUAUUGCACAAUGGGGGGAACCCUGAUGCAGCGACGCCGCGUGGGUGAGGAAGUACUUCGGUAUGUAAAGCCCUAUCAGCAGGGAAGAAAAUGACGGUACCUGACUAAGAAGCCCCGGCUAACUACGUGCCAGCAGUCGCGGUAACACGUAGGGGGCAAGCGUUAUCCGGAUUUACUGGGCGUAAUGGGAGCGUAGGCGGCGUGCCAAGUCAGAUGUGAAAGGCCGGAGCUCAAGCCCGGGAAUGCAGUGGACACUGGCAUGCUGGAGUGCCGGUGGGGCAAGCGGAAUGCGUGGUGUAGCGGUGAAAUGCGUAGAGAUUAGGAAGAACACCGAUGGCGAAGGCGGCUUACUGGACGGUAACUGACGUUGAGGCUCGAAAGCGUGGGGAGCAAACAGGAUUAGAUACCCUAGUAGUC
rnacentral:rRNA from 1 species